CACAAGAAUGAUUAUUCCAUUACAAAUUAAAAUUCUCACUCUAGUGACAUAUAUACUAUCAUAAUAUGGCAUAGUGAUUUAAACAUUAAGAACAAUAAAGACAACAAUCCUUCAAAAACUAAUUGCAAUCAUUUUUUAUAAGGAAAAAACCAUAAAAGAUUUAUUUUCAAAAUUUCAAGUACUCUUUGCAAGUUGUAAAGG
rnacentral:lncRNA from 1 species